rnacentral:rRNA from 1 species
CCCGGGCCUUGUACACACCGCCCGUCACACCAUGGGAGUUGGUUUUACCCGAAGCCGGUGCGCCAACCUCGCGAGAGGGGGUAGCCGACCACGGUAAGGUCAGCGACUGGGGUG